UACGGAGGGUGCAAGCAUUGAUCGGAAUUACUGGGCGUAAAGGGCGCGUAGGCGGCAAGGUAAGUCAGAUGUGAAAUUCCGGGGCUCAACCCCGGAGCUGCAUUUGAAACUGCCUAGCUAGAGUACAGUUAGGGUAAACGGAAUUCCACGUGUAGCGGUGAAAUGCGUAGAUAUGUGGAAGAACACCGGUGGUGAAGACGGUUUACUGGGCUGAAACUGACGCUGAGGCGCGAAAGCAUGGGGAGCAAACAGG
rnacentral:rRNA from 1 species